AGGAGAGAGAGUGUGUGAGAGGAGAGAGAGUGUGAGAGGAGAGAGUGUGUGAGAGAGAGUGUGAGAGGAGAGAGAGUGUGAGAGGAGAGAGAGUGUGAGAGGAGAGAGAGUCAGUGUGAGAGGAGAGAGUGUGUGAGAGGAGAGAGUGUGUGAGAGGAGAGAGUGUGUGAGAGGAGAGAGUGUGUGAGAGGAGAGAGAGUGUGAGAGGAGAGAGAGUGUGAGAGGAGAGAGAGUGUGAGAGGAGAGAGUGUGUGAGAGGAGAGAGAGUGUGAGAGGAGAGAGUGUGUGAGAGGAGAGAGUGUGUGAGAGGAGAGAGUGUGUGAGAGGAGAGAGUGUGAGAGGAGAGAGAGAGUGUGAGAGGAGAGAGAGAGUGAGAGUGAGAGGAGAGAGUGUGAGAGGAGAGAGAGUGUGAGAGGAGAGAGUGUGUGAGAGGAGAGAGAGUGUGAGAGGAGAGAGAGAGUGUGUGAGAGGAGAGAGAGUGUGAGAGGAGAGAGUGUGUGAGAGGAGAGAGAGUGUGAGAGGAGAGAGAGUGUGAGAGGAGAGAGAGUGUGAGAGGAGAGAGAGUCAGUGUGUGAGAGGAGAGAGAGUCAGUGUGUGAGAGGAGAGAGAGUCAGUGUGAGGAGAGAGAGUGUGUGAGAGGAGAGAGAGUGUGUGAGAGGAGAGAGUGUGUGAGAGGAGAGAGAGUCAGUGAGAGGAGAGAGAGUCAGUGUGUGAGAGGAGAGAGAGUCAGUGUGUGAGAGGAGAGAGAGUCAGUGUGUGAGAGGAGAGAGAGUCAGUGUAGAGAGAGAGUCAGUGUGUGAGAGGAGAGAGAGUGUGAGAGGAGAGAGAGUGUGAGAGGAGAGAGAGUGUGAG
ensembl:lncRNA